rfam:Schistosoma haematobium scaffold192_18, whole genome shotgun sequence.
AUCCAACUGACGAGUACCAAACAGGAUGAAACGCGUGUUCUGGAU